UGGCUGAUAAGGGCCUUCACCGUGGCCCGGUUGACUGGAGGCAGACGUGCCAGCAGCUCUCGAUACCUGGAGACCUUCUGCUCUUCAUCCUCAAUCUCUGGGUGGGGAAAAAUAGGUGAGAAUGACUCUGAUGAGACUGACAAGAUCCUACAAUGGAACAGAAUGGACUGUGGACCAGGAAAGAUCCAUGAAACCCGUAACUAGAGCACUGCCCGCAUCAUGUAGAGCACAAGCAGCACCCAAGAGGCUUCACUCACCCCUGCGGAGGGUUCUU